GGCAAAACCAACUGUUAAUCCAUUGUCAUAUGCUAAAAAUGACAUUUUCCUUUCUUAUUGCCAUUUGCCAUCACAAGAACUCAUCUUCCUCCCCAGUCAGUAAGUCACGACCCCAAACCCCAGAAGCCCGCUGGUUUUCCUCAAUUAUCAGACCAAUUUUUUGAAGAUUGAUCAAGAAUGCUUACUUGGAUUUAUAAUUCCAUCUGGAAGAGACACUAGCAGAACCAACGAAAAUGCAAACACAAAGUUAGAUAAUUGAUUGAGUCUGAAUGAAAGCCACUCCAUUGCUGAUACAUUGUGAAACCAUGCUCUUGUAUAUCCAUCCACUAAUACGAGGAUUGGAGCCUUCUGUAUUUCAGAUAAUCGUGCUAACUCCCUUGCAGUUGAUUGCUGUUACUGGAAUGAAGAUGAGAAAGACCUCCCAUGCAACCUGUGACAUGACUGCAAUGGUGCCAAGGAGCUGGAUCAUUGAGAAAGCUGCCGAAAACAAUCUUUGUGCCAUUUCCAAGUCCAAUACACUUUGGUCAGAUGAUGCCUGCAUAUGAAAAGGUAUGUUGCAAGACAUAACAACUAAAGUCGCAGCUAAUCCUGCAAAUGACCCCAACCCUAGACUUGUAUGCAGAACAUAGAUGGCUAA